UACGUAGGGGGCUAGCGUUGUCCGGAUUUAUUGGGCGUAAAGAGCGUGUAGGCGGCCAGGUAGGUCUGCUGUGAAAACUGGAGGCUCAACUUCCAGACGUCGACAGAAACCGCUUGGCUAGAGUCCGGAAGAGGAGAGUGGAAUUCCUGGUGUAGCGGUGAAAUGCGCAGAUAUCAGGAGGAACACCGGUGGCGAAGGCGGGUCUCUGGGCAGUAACUGACGCUGAGGAGCGAAAGCGUGGGGAGCGAACAGG
rnacentral:rRNA from 1 species